rnacentral:rRNA from 1 species
GAGCGGCGGACGGGUGAGUAACACGUGGGUAACCUGCCCAAGAGACUGGGAUAACACCUGGAAACAGAUGCUAAUACCGGAUAACAACACUAGACGCAUGUCUAGAGUUUGAAAGAUGGUUCUGCUAUCACUCUUGGAUGGACCUGCGGUGCAUUAGCUAGUUGGUAAGGUAACGGCUUACCAAGGCAAUGAUGCAUAGCCGAGUUGAGAGACUGAUCGGCCACAUUGGGACUGAGACACGGCCCAAACUCCUACGGGAGGCAGCAGUAGGGAAUCUUCCACAAUGGACGAAAGUCUGAUGGAGCAACGCCGCGUGAGUGAAGAAGGGUUUCGGCUCGUAAAGCUCUGUUGGUAGUGAAGAAAGAUAGAGGUAGUAACUGGCCUUUAUUUGACGGUAAUUACUUAGAAAGUCACGGCUAACUACGUGCCAGCAGCCGCGGUAAUACGUAGGUGGCAAGCGUUGUCCGGAUUUAUUGGGCGUAAAGCGAGUGCAGGCGGUUCAAUAAGUCUGAUGUGAAAGCCUUCGGCUCAACCGGAAAAUUGCAUCA